CGGCACUUUGGGCACGUUUGUGGGGAUGGACUGUUUAGGAUGUCAAAUUGCAGCUACAUUUCUUUCUAGUCCCACUUGAAAGUAUGUAAUUGCAAUUUAGAGAGCACAGCCUCAAUAUGAAUGCCAAGGAAAUUACAAUUCGCUUAUUUCCACUAAUAAAAAUUGCAUCGGAUGGUGCAUCCAAGCGCAACCUUAAGGUGCCCAAUGACUUGUGGACUUGUUGAGAAAUUCGUUCCGAUCUGUAAAUUUAUUCAAUGUUUUGUCAUUUUUUGGUGUUGGGUGACAGGUGAACUUGCUAUUGAGUAAAUGGAUGAAGGAUCCCGAGAAGAUAUUCUAUGGAAACAUUGUUGCAUAUAUGAUGCCGCAAUGCUUCCUGAAGUUAAAAAGGACGAGCUUUCAAAUGUGAUUUGGAGGAAUGUUUUCUCUGAUGAUAGUUCCGGGAUGCCAAAUACUGCUGCACUCAGUGCAGUCCAGGCAUGUUCUUUUCAUCCUCUUUAUUCUUCACUUAAAUAAGGCCAUGUAUUCUAAUCGUGGUUUGAUUGCUUUCGUGGCAUCUUAUGCAUGUUAAAUGUACCAAAUGAAGACCAUUCAUUCGUGAUGAUGCCUCCUCAAUGUAACUGACCGUGUAGACUAGCAUGGCCCUAAUAAGAAGCUUGGGCUUUUUAAAAAAUAAAAAUAUUCUUUUCUUUUUCUUCUUCUUUUUUCAUUUCCUGACCACAGCAGCUUCUAAUGAAUCCAUGUAUAGAAACUACAAUACUCAGAUACUUGUGUUGGAUCAAGCUAUCUAUAUCAAACUCAAUUAGGACUCAACAGAUACUUGCGUUGGAUCAAGCUAUCUAUAUCUAUAUCCAACUCUGAGGCCAGAUUUUAAUCAAUUGUGCCUAAAUUUAGGCCUACAAGCACUUCAGCCUUUUGACACCACUAGUGCUAGGAGUAGACCAUAUAGAGGAUUUGUUUUUUUAUUUAUUUUUAUUCAAGACCAUUUUCAAUUUAUUGUAACAAAUAUUAUAUAUUUUUAUUAUGUAGUAAUAUAAAUUUUGUUUAAUAUUAGUUUUAAUUGUAUUGCAUCAUUUUUUAUGUUUCAAAUAUUAAAAAACUACAUGUUUCAAUUGAAUUAUAUAUAAUAAUAAUAAAUUACUGGCCUGC